rnacentral:rRNA from 1 species
UAGCCGUAAACGAUACUCGCUAGGUGUCGGCCACGGUGCGACCGUUGUCGGUGCCGUAGGGAAGCCGUGAAGCGAGCCACCUGGGAAGUACGGCCGCAAGGCUGAAACUUAAAGGAAUUGGCGGGGGAGCACAACAACGGGUGGAGCUUGCGGUUUAAUUGGAUUCAACGCCGGAAAUCUUACCGGGACCGACAGCAACAUGAAGGCCAAGCUGAAGACUUUGCCGGAUUAAGCUGAGAGGAGGUGCAUGGC